rnacentral:sRNA from 1 species
UGACCUGCUGAUUGACUGCCGUAAUCAC